rnacentral:rRNA from 1 species
CUACGGGCGGCAGCCGUGGGGAAUAUUGCACAAUGGGCGCAAGCCUGAUGCAGCCAUGCCGCGUGUGUGAAGAAGGCCUUCGGGUUGUAAAGCACUUUCAGCGGGGAGGAAGGCGUUAAGGUUAAUAACCUUGGCGAUUGACGUUACCCGCAGAAGAAGCACCGGCUAACUCCGUGCCAGCAGCCGCGGUAAUACGGAGGGUGCAAGCGUUAAUCGGAAUUACUGGGCGUAAAGCGCACGCAGGCGGUCUGUCAAGUCGGAUGUGAAAUCCCCGGGCUCAACCUGGGAACUGCAUUCGAAACUGGCAGGCUAGAGCCUUGUAGAGGGGGGUAGAAUUCCAGGUGUAGCGGUGAAAUGCGUAGAGAUCUGGAGGAAUACCGGUGGCGAAGGCGGCCCCCUGGACAAAGACUGACGCUCAGGUGCGAAAGCGUGGGGAGCAAACAGGAUUAGAUACCCGAGUAGUC